rnacentral:snRNA from 1 species
GUGCUCAUUUCAGCAGAACAAAUACUAAAAUUAGAACAAUACAGAGAUUAGCAUGGCCCUUGUGCAGUGAUGAUGCACAAAUUUGUGAAGUGUUCAUAUAAAGU